AGUCGAACGCUGAAGGCCCAGCUUGCUGGGUUGGAUGAGUGGCGAACGGGUGAGUAACACGUGAGUAACCUGCCCCCUUCUUUGGGAUAACGGUCGGAAACGGCUGCUAAUACCGGGUAUUCACUGUCCUUCGCAUGGGGGGUGGUGGAAAGGUUUUUUCUGGUGGGGGAUGGGCUCGCGGCCUAUCAGCUUGUUGGUGGGGUGAUGGCUUACCAAGGCUUUGACGGGUAACCGGCCUGAGAGGGUGACCGGUCACAUUGGGACUGAGAUACGGCCCAGACUCCUACGGGAGGCAGCAGUGGGGAAUAUUGCACAAUGGGCGAAAGCCUGAUGCAGCGACGCCGCGUGAGGGAUGACGGCCUUCGGGUUGUAAACCUCUUUCGCUCAUGGUCAAGCCGCAACAGUGGUUGUGGUGAGGGUAGUGGGUAAAGAAGCACCGGCUAACUACGUGCCAGCAGCCGCGGUAAUACGUAGGGUGCGAGCGUUGUCCGGAAUUAUUGGGCGUAAAGGGCUUGUAGGCGGUUUGUCGCGUCUGCCGUGAAAUCCUCUGGCUUAACUGGGGGCGUGCGGUGGGUACGGGCAGGCUUGAGUGCGGUAGGGGAGACUGGAA
rnacentral:rRNA from 1 species